AAAAAGACAAACCAUGGGUUUACAUGUCCAACAUUUGAUUGUCCAUCUUAUAUGAAAUUCUUUUAUAAUUAGUAUUUUCAUUAUUGUCAGAUGAUAAAGCAUGAUUAAUACUUUAUGUGACUUAUCUUUUUAAUUUUCUUCAUAAUUUUUUCAAAUAAGACGGACGGUCAAACGUUGGACAUGGAAACCUAUGGUUUGUCUUUUU
rfam:Oryza meridionalis cultivar OR44 (W2112) chromosome 8, whole genome shotgun sequence.